rnacentral:tRNA from 1 species
GCCAGUGUGGUGUAGUGGUUUGAGUGUUGGACUGUGGCUCUGGAGACUAGGGUUUGAUUCCCCAUUUGGCC